UACGAAGGGGGGCUAGCGUUGCUCGGAAUGACUGGGCGUAAAGGGCGCGUAGGCGGUUCGUACAGUCAGACGUGAAAUUCCCGGGCUCAACCUGGGGGCUGCGUUUGAUACGUGCGGGCUUGAGUUCGGAAGAGGGUCGUGGAAUUCCCAGUGUAGAGGUGAAAUUCGUAGAUAUUCGCAAGAACACCAGUGGCGAAGGCGGCUCACUGGCCCGAUACUGACGCUGAGGCACGAAAGCAUGGGGAGCGAACAGG
rnacentral:rRNA from 1 species